rnacentral:ncRNA from 1 species
AUAGAAGAGGCGCAAUCAACAUGAGUCGCUUUCCUGAGGUGGGUCACACCGAUGACGGAAAGUAAAAGGGGCGAUUGCCGAAAUUCUCGCGUGACAACCUAGCGCGGGGGUUGGGUCCUGGUUUAACAGAUCAGGGACUGUCGCAGCCAAAUAUCGGCUGCGGGGCGCUUUC